rnacentral:rRNA from 1 species
UACGAGGGGGGCAAGCGUUGUUCGGAAUUAUUGGGCGUAAAGAGCUCGUAGGCGGUCUGUCACGUCGGCUGUGAAAUCCCGAGGCUCAACCUCGGGUCUGCAGUCGAUACGGGCAAACUAGAGUAUUGCAGGGGAGACUGGAAUUCCUGGUGUAGCGGUGAAAUGCGCAGAUAUCAGGAGGAACACCGGUGGCGAAGGCGGGUCUCUGGAACGCAACUGACGCUGAGACGCGAAAGCGUGGGGAGCGAACAGG